AGCUGUUAUAAUACAAUGUAACAAAAUUGUUUCAAAUGAAGUUAAAGACAACUAAGCACUACUAGAGCCACCUUACAGGGGAAAAAAGAAAAUUUUUUGGCUGACCAAAUAAUUCUUUCACUUAUUUAAAGCCCAUGUUCAGUCCACAUACAAAUACACGGUUUUCAUUUCUUUUGAACAUCCUUCCUAUAAUGUCUUUCAAGUGUUCUAAUAAUAAGAUAGAAAUCUGGAAAACUACUGAACCAGUGUGAUGAAGGUGGAUAUGAUUUUAAAUUGCAUACAUUUAAAGCAUCCAUAAUAAUCAAACAAUGUGUUAAUUAUUUGCUUCACCACUAAGGAAAUCAAAACAAUUUUGCAUCUCAGAACACCUCUUGGAAAAACAAUAAGUCUCCUACUAAA